UAGCUCAGUUGGAAGAGCGUAAGAUUGUGGCUCUUAAGGUCGUGGGAUCGAAACCCACUAUCCACAUUUUUAUUUUGUUUUAAUAGUUUAUAAUAGAAAUUAUAAAAAAUGUGGAUGGUGGGUUUCGAUCCCACGACCUUAAGAGCCACAAUCUUACGCUCUUCCAACUGAGCUA
rnacentral:miRNA from 1 species